rnacentral:rRNA from 1 species
GGGCCCGCACAAGCGGUGGAGCAUGUGGUUUAAUUCGAUGAUACGCGAGGAACCUUACCAGGGCUUAAAUGUAGUGGGACAGGUCUAGAGAUAGACCCUUCUUCGGACUCAUUACAAGGUGCUGCAUGGUUGUCGUCAGCUCGUGCCGUGAGGUGUCAGGUUAAGUCCUAUAACGAGCGCAACCCCUAUCGUUAGUUGCCAGCGGGUAAUGCCGGGAACUCUAGCGAAACUGCCGGUGCAAACCGUGAGGAAGGUGGGGAUGACGUCAAAUCAUCACGGCCCUUACGUCCUGGGCUACACACGUGCUACAAUGGUCGGUACAGAGAGCAGCCACUUCGCAAGAAGGAGCGAAUCUUCAAAGCCGGUCUCAGUUCGGAUCGGAGUCUGCAACUCGACUCCGUGAAGCUGGAAUC